UGACAUGAGCCAAAAUCAAGAGUCAGACAUUCAACCAACUGAGCCACCCAGGCACCCCUGGAAAAAUGGUCUUACAAAUCAGUCGAAGCUGUGA
rnacentral:lncRNA from 1 species